rnacentral:lncRNA from 1 species
CUCAUAUCAACUAUUUUGUACAUUUACUUAUGGCACCACCAUCACCAUAUAGGAUUUUGAUUCAUUUCUUUCAUUAUUAAUUACUUAACAUAAUUACCUACAUUUUUUCCCAUCUAGUUGUCAUAUAUUUCAUAUAUGAUACAAAAGUCUUUAUUGCAUGCUUGUGUACAUAUACCAAAUAUUAUUUCUAUGAUAUGCAACCAUAAUAUCCUAGUUAGCAGAAUGCUGAAGCUGACUAGAUCCCUCAAAUAUUAGGUGUAGAUGAGGGCAAGUAGAUGUAUUAGUCAUUAUAGUUCUUCACUGUCCACUCUAUGAGGUACUAGCAGUUAAACUGAAUUGACAAGAGUAAGCCGGCCACUGGUAGAAAAAUGUCGACUCUUUCAUCUAGAUAAUUUCCUUUCUGCUCUAACAAUGAUGGGCAACCAAUCAAUCUUAAGUAAUUUACCUGGUCUAGAAGGAAGACACAAGUAUUUGAUAGGUAAAUAGUCAACUUCACAUUCAAGUAAAGAGGUACAGCUAAAUUCCAGCAUCCUAAUCCAAGCCCAAUAGAAUUAGAGAAUAUUUGGAACUAUUCAUAGACAACCAUGAAAUAUGAAAUGAGAGAACCUUGUUAUUUCCAAUUUGCUGCAAAUUAGCUUUAUAGAACACCAAAGUAUCAUCAUCAAAUUUUAAUGGAACUAUUUUUUUUUAUCAGCCAUAUUAUUUCCAAAAAUAAUUGGUCAAAGAAUUUCUUUUUGCCAACGAAAAAAUUCCGGACAACAUAUCAUCCAUUAACACAAAUAAGAAAGGAUAUAAAGUAUCUCCUUGUUGGAGACCCCUUUUAUAAGAAAUCUAUCAUACCAGCUUACCAUUCAAAAGAACUCCAUAGCAGCCCGCCAUUAGACGACAUCAAAUCCAACAAAUCCAUUUUUCAGAAAGCAUCUAUUUUGCAUGA